ensembl:lincRNA
CUUUUAUGCUCUGUACAGCUUUGAGCCUAGUUUGAAGAAAUCCUUACUGUUUUUUUUUUAAGAUGUUAUUUAUUUAUUUAUUCUGGAGGGAGAAAGCGAGAGCGAACACAAGUGAGGAGAGGGGCAGAAGGGGAGAGAGAGAGAGGGAGAGAGACUCCCCAGCAGACUUUGCACUGAGCACAGAGCUCCACAUGGGGCUUGAUGCCCCAUGAGCCAAGCUGAAACCGAGUCAGUUGCUCGACGGACUGAGCCAGCCAGGUGCCUUGAAAUCCUUCCUGUGUUGAGUUGGAUUUGAUGACUGCACCCCAGGACCCCAGGACCCCAGGACCCAUAAGCAGGCCGGGCUUAUGGUCAAGAGGCUCCUGGGGAGGCAGAGCUGGGCGCAGCCCCUGGGGCUCCCGGGGUGGCUGGCCCUGGCCGCCUACAGAUGGAUUUACAGCCGGAGGCGGUGAAAGAAAAAGACGGAAAGGGACUUUCUGAGAACAAGGCACAGACCGCAGGAAAAUCCUGUCCGCUUGGCCUCCCCUUGGAUCCAUAGCCACCUGGUUUUUGCCGCCACCUCGGUCAGCCUAUAUAUAUGGAGACAUUUCCUAGCAACCGAGCAUCCUCGCCCAGGGGCAGGCUCCACUCUGGAGCGCUGGGGAGCAUCUGCGCAUGCGCUGGGCCAUCUCGGGGCCGACUCACCGCUUGGAGCAGGGAGGGGAGAGGGAGCCACACGGGGUGGCCCAGAGCCCGAGUCCUUAAUGGGGCCAGGGGUCAAGCGGGCAGUGAACUUGGGAUGGGGGGGCGGGGGAAGAAAAUAAUAUAUAUAUAUUCCUUAUUUUCAGUGACUGCUAGAUGUGCCAGCGUCUUGUCCCUCAGAAACAUCGCAGACCUUCUUAUGUCACAUCACUUUUUUGGACUCACCUGAGGCCCCGCCUCGCCUGGGCUCUUCUGCGGGUUUGUCUCUUCCGCCUGCCUUCUCUCGCAUUUGCUUCGGGUGCCCAGCUGCACUUCUGAUCUCAAUUGCACUAGACCUUCAGCGGUGGCCGCUCACUACCGCAGCUGGCUGAGCUCCCCAGGUGUGCAUCCAUGACUUGACUGAUUUGCGAUGUUGCAAAGAGAAGCCACAGCUGCUUGAAGCCUUGGGGUGGCUUUGAAACCACGUACCAGGAGUGAUGAUUAUUGGUUUGAGAAUUUUAAGAAGGAUUUUUUUUUUGCUUAACUGGAAAGGGGUGAACUGACCUCCAUCAGCAUUCCCCGCCUUUGUGACCCAAGAGCAGAGGGACACUUCCUCCCUGCACAGAGGAAGCCCGGCUUCAUCUUCAUCUGGGUGGUGGGUCUUAUGGGCAAGAAAGGAAAUCUUCUUGUUCAUGGACGGACAGUUCGACGAAAGCUUCAGUGGGAGGGCAGCUCCUUCUCACUGGUUUCUUGUGGACGUUGGGCCUCCUUUGAAGGCCUAGCUCCUUCUCUGCACCAUGGAAGGCCUGCUGUUAGAGCGCCACCUUGAGGUUUUGCUGUGACUAAUCAAUGCCCAGCUGCCCUUUGGUAAAUUAAGUGCAAGAUGAAGCGGGUUUAUGGGAAGACCACGCCAACUGGGAAUCAGCACAUCAGGUGCCUCUUUGAAGGCUGUAUUGUUUGGGAAUGUCAAGUAACCGUCUUGUGUCUAGUGUCUGGGCAUGCCCUUCCCCUUUCCGACCUGCAAGGACCCAUGAGGACAUGCCCAGAGAUGUACUGGAGCCGCCUGGAGCAGGUGCCAAGAGCUGAAAGUUAAAUUUUCAGGCACCCUGUGAGCCAGUGGUUAGACAUAGCCACUACCGAGAAUGAAAGACAGACUGUUACGAUGGAAUAAAUUACCUUAAAAACAAAGAUAUGACAAAAUAGCCCUUUCUAAUUGCUUUGCUAUUAUCUCCGUGCUGGGGGUUGCUUGUGAUGGAAAUGGGACCUAACGGUGUACCCCUGUUCCCAGCUCUGCAUCUGGUGACAUCAGCUUGGGGGCCUACGGCGGGUUAGGGUAGGAGUGUUCACAGCACGGGAAUCGCCAGAUCCUGCACGCAUGCGCGCCGUUAGACAGCCCUUGCUAGACCUUUACCAGCAAGCACACCUCCGAGCGUGACCCCUCCUGCUGGGAAUGGUCCGGGAGGGAGGGGGGAGGGAGGCGAGGGGGGAGGAAGGAGGAGAAAGGGGCAGGCGGCCCGCCCUGACGCUCCGCCCACCUGAGGAGUCGGGCUCCCAAAAUGCAGGGCUUGGAAAAGACACAAGAAUUAUUCUAAAAUACAUAUUGUCCCCAACGAUUUCCUUUAUUACGGUUUAGAUUCUUUUGGCCACUCGCCCGCGUGGCAGACUGCUCCGGAGCUGCCCGUGGAGCGUUCCCAGGAGGGCGUAAAUGGCAGAGAGCGCGUGCGGGCCCAGAUGUGGGGAGAGUGCCCAGCCCCCCCCCCCCACGGCAACGAGGCAGCAAGCAGGUGGUGCUGAGGGGGACAGCCGCCGCCCCUGCUGCCCCGGGCCGGCUGGAGUCUCCCACCAUGUGGGGGUCUGAGUGCAGCCCAGAGGGACGCACGGACAGAGGGACGCACGGAGCCACGGUCCGCCCAGACGCUUUCUUGGCUCUGAUUCACCCUGUACGUUGCUUCUUGGGUGCUUCGGGAGUGAAUCAAGUUAAAAGCAAACUUGAACUGAGUCCAACUUGUCC